UUUUGAAAAAAAAAAACGAUAUCAAGUGGUCCUCGUGUAAAACUGGAGCCUCCGUGUUCGUUAUUUUGUAGUUUUAUACAGUAUAGGCGACAUAAUUAAACCCUCGGUUACAUUGGUGGCAGCGUUGGUUACACAUGUUUACCUUAACGAUUAUCCGUGUUUUGACCCUCAAAAGCUGCCGUAGCCGAGCGAUCAGGGACUUACGGUAUUAGCCAUGCAAGCUAAUAGCCACUAGCGACGGAAUUUAGAGAACAAAUAAACAGUUACUAUAGAUUUGAAUUGGAAAAAAAUACAACAAUGAUUUUAGUCACAAAAGCGCCACUUGAAGUGAUUCAAAAGAGCGCUGUUCCACACGAGUGACUUAGCCGUCAACAAGCUUGGUCCCGCGCCCACGUGACCUAACGCAGUGCAUCCCGGGAAAUGGUGGCAGUGACACCGCGCGCUGAACAAGUUAAAACCCAGGCCGAUGAGGAAUGCAACCGAUGGAGAUGGAGGCAGUGCAAGGAUGCAGGAGGAAGCUGCAGUCGUGUGCACGACUUCGAAGGAAAAGACAAACAGUCAAGUGUGCCUCGCUGAAGUCUGAGGGGACUUAAUGGAGCGUGCGAGUGGAUCAUCCAUCCUUGCUUCUCACCAAGGAACUUAAAAGAGGCCAGCUGCCAACAAGAUGGCUGCACUUGGAGUGGGAAGCUUGCCUGCAGACAUUUGACACAGACAGCAAGGAGCUCCACAGCUUGUCGUUUCCCCGACGACGUCUUGCAGGACGCCAGCAUCUGCUUCAACUCGUUGCCGUUGGCCGAGUGUGAGGGGCUCCUCGGCAUGCCCACCUCCACGAAGGUGUCGGAGCCUGGAGGACCGAGCCAACACAAACUCAAACUUGACUGAACGUCCUGGCAGGUUUCAUGCAUUAGCGGAAUAAAGGAGCAGCUGUAAUUGAGCCUCCGGCGUUACGGGAUGGGUCACUUUUUCAAGACGCGUGGCCCAGAAAUGACAUUUUAGGGGAGGUCUCUGGGGUCCAGCGGGCAAACAAGAGGGCGAGCCAGCGCAAACACGCUGUGUGACACAGGAGGAAGGAGGGAGAGGAAACCUGCCGGUGACAUCGGGCUGGGUAAACAGUGGAGGGAAAAGGAGACGCGUGAGAAAGAAGAAGUGAGCACCAGGAGGAGGCCAGAAGGUAACCGGUCUCCUGCGCCCGGGACGUUAAGGAUAAGUUCAUUCCAGGUGUUCCAGCCAAAAAGCUCAAUUUUUGUUCCAUCUGACCACAGAACUUUCCUCCAGAAGGUCUUAUCUUUGUCCAUGUGAUGUCAGAUGAAACAAAAAUGGAGCUGUUUGGCCACAAUACCCAGCAAUAUGUUUGGAGGAGAAAAGGUGAGGCCUUUAAUCCCAGGAACACCAAUUCCUACCGUCAAGCAUGGUGGUGGUAGUAUUAUGCUCUGGGCCUGUUUUGCUGCCAAUGGAACUGCUGCUUUAAAUGGGACAAUGAAGAAGGAGGAUUAGCUCCAAAUUGUUCAGGACAAGCUAAAAUCAUCAGCCCGGAGGUUGGGUCUUGUUGGGUGUUCCAACAGGACAAUGACCUCAAAAGUGGUAAAGGAAUGGCUAUAAUGAAUGUUUUAGAAUGGCCUUCCCAAAGUCCUGACUUAAAGGUGUGGACAAUGCUAAAGAAACAAGUCCAUGUCAGAAAAGCAACACAUUUAGCUGAACUGCAGCAAUUUAGUGGUCAAGUGGUCAAGCAGAAGCUUGUGGAUGGCUACCAAAAGCGCCUUAUUGCAGGUCAACUUGCCAAGGGACAUGUAAGCAAAUAUUAACAUUGCUGUAUGUAUACUUUCGACCCUCACAUUUUCAGUAGACCCAUAAUAAAUUCAUAAAAGAAGCAAACUUCUUUGUGAGCAACAAGUAUGUGCUCCAAUCACUACAUCACAACAAAUAAGAAUGAUUGGCAACUCAAGACAGCCAUGACAUGAUGUUCUUUACAAGUGUACGUACACUUUUGACCACCACUGUAUGUAGGCCAGAGUAAAACAACUUGCACUGAGCCUAGUCUAUAAAAUCCGCUACACCUCCCUGAUACCGAAGUACAUGUCAAACUACUUCCUUAACGUAAAUGACCGCCAUAACCACAACACCAGGGGGAGCUCCACUAACCACGUUAAACCCAGAUUCCGAACUAACAAAGCUCUUAACUCAUUCUCCUUCUAUGCCACGUCAAUGUGGAAUGCACUCCCAACAGGUGGAAAAGAAAGGGCAUCUCUAUCCUCCUGAUGAGGGUGUGCGGUAUAAUGACCAGUGGAGCCAAGGAUCCUCGUCGGAACUUAACCUUCUGUUGAUGUCCCGUAAGCGAUCAUCGUGCUUUAUGCAAUCUUGCUCUCUCUCUCUGUGUUUUUCUUCCCUGUCAUUUUUGUUUGUCUGGUGUCCUCUCUGUCCAUCCUACUGCAGACCUCCGUUCCCACGUUGACGUUGCUGUGUGUUUCCCUGACUGCCUCUUGGAUCUCGACCCACUCUCGCAUGGACACAGACCUCCUACGCCUCCCUGACCAUCUGCCUGCCCCACGGACUGCCUUCAUGCCUUGUUCCUCCUCUCGAGUCAACACUUCUGGUAAACACUCAGCAAUUAAUUCCUACACAUAGUCUUACACCGUACACACUCUUGGAUUUUGUCACACACCAUUCUCUAGUUAAUUUAUUAGUAUUGUUUCUUAUUAUAUAUAUAUUAUAUUAUGUGUGUAUAUUUUAAUAAA